GAGGCGCCUCCGCGUCCGUCCUGGGCCAAUGGCGCACGGCGGAGCCUUAUCACACUUCUCCCCGGCUGGCCAAUGGCGCGCCUCUCCCCGGCUCACAUGACGCCUUUCUGUGAACCCCCCCACUCCUCUCAACGCUCAAUCUCCGGCGAGCGCAGGCAUCACACAAGACCUGACAUCGGGCGGAAUCGGACGUCCACUGCCCUGUCCCCCUCCCACUGCCCACCGCCACUGACCAGGUGUUAUCUCCACGCAGCCUCCGAGUCUCUCUCCUGUCCAUCCGAUGAAGGCGCCCCGAGCGCCGCGUCCAAAUCUGGACGAGACUUUUUUUUUUUUUUUUUCUGCGUCCGAACGGAGAGGCGCAGCCAGCCAGGGGCGAGACAAUAAACGCCCAGAAGUUACAGAAAUGAACAGUGACAAGUGAAAGAAAUGGAAGAGAAUUCAAGAACUGGAAGCAGAAAGCCACCCCUCCCCAAGCCACGCACGUUCCAGGCACAGUGCAGUGAGGAAAAGACAAGAAUGAUAAUACGAAAGGUCCAGACAUGGAGGAGGCACGCAAGCGUACACACACUCUCAGCGCAGUGGCACCUAGAGGUUGUCUGCGGUUUACCACCACCCUGCCACACACACACACACACACACACACACACACACACACACACACACACACACACACACACACACACACACAUAUUGCUGGUUAAAGUAAAAAUCAUGAGACCACCGAGUCAGGAAGAUUAUAAUGGUGGGAAUUUAAGAAAACAAACUCAUUAUCUAUUCUUGGACCUUAAAGACAUUUUAAAAAUAUCUAUCAUUAGCCUAAGUUUCUGUGUUUUUUGCUAAAUAUUUUCUAUUUAAUCAGAACAAAUAUGUCACAAAUGCCAUUUUUAAUGUGUCCAUGUGUGCAUGCGUUAUUAAAGCUGUCAUCUUUAUUUCUGCUUUUUUCUAUUUCAGUCUGUCAAAACCAAUUUGCACGAGUUUAACAGCCGUACCACACGUCCCACAGCCCCCAUCCGUAACCAACCCAUAUAACCCACCCUGUGCUCCUCCCAGGCUUCCCAGCAUCCUGCCCAGCACACCCUCCACUAAAAAAAAAAACCCCAAAAAAAACCCUUCAUUCCAAAAUUACAGUGCAGAUUUGUGGGAAACCCCUCCCUCCCUUUAUAUCGCUACAUUUGCCCUCCUUAUCUGCCUCUCAUUGUGCUUCUGGCUCAUAUGAGUUUGAGCAAAGGUUUAUUUUAUUGUUAAUUAUCCUGUCAGACAGCUGCCCACACUAAUUUGCAUCUACAAUUAAAGAGAAUUGGAUUUAGAGUGAAGAUAUCACGAAUCAAAUAAAAGUGACUUUUUUGUGAGUGAGGGGAAGUAUUCAGUACUCCUGAUUUUGUUUUUAUUACUAAAGGAAAAAAGUGUGUUUCAUCAUUUCUUAUGAGUACAACCAAUUAGUAUGCAAACUAAUUAAUUUGCCUUGAUAUUCAGUUUGUUACGGCUCCUUGUUAUCACACCGAGCCACUCAAAACGACUUUAAAUCUGUCAGGGUUGGUUUGUAGAAUUCUAUUUGCAACAACAAACUGGGUCUACUUCUUAGUUGGAUUCAUAUGUCAAGAUGGCCAGAAAAGCCCAAAACGAAGGCUAGCUACAAAAACUCAAACUCAAGUUUAACUAAAACAAUCUUGUGUCGGAUGUUACUGCAGAUUUUAAAAGUGGCACAGUUCGUUUUUAGAUUUGGGUUAACUAACGACACCACUGUCACAGCAACCGUGUCACUGUCCAGUUUAAUGAUACACUCCAUCAGUUCAGAUUUGACUGCGCGGAGCUAGCUUGGUGAACAGCCGACUGUAUGUGUGUGUGUGUGUGUGUGUGUGUGCGCCGACUAUUAAAGCACUUGAGAAUUCGAGAGGAAGGAGCUCACGCUGCUAAUGGUUGUGUGUAUUGAUGUUCCCUGUUAACGGCAGACUGUAAACGAUAGGACAAUGAUUGUGUUGAAGAUGGAAGGUGGUGCUGGAGUAGGGAGGAGAGAGCAGUUUGGCUGGGUGAUGAUAAUGACAAGGAACGUUAUUAUUUGGCGCCCCAUAGAGUCUCUUUCCGCUUGUGUAAGUGUGUGUGUUUGUGUGAGACAAAGAAAGAGUCGAGAGCAGCACUCUUGUUCUGUGUCUCUCCAUCCUCUUGCCUUCCCAGCCUGUUGGCUGCUAUUAACUUCUUUUUUUCCCUCCUCCUCUCCUAGUCCACACCUCAUGACAUUACUUACUGUUACUGGUCUUCAGUGAGGGCUGCUGCUUUCCCAUAAACACCUCAUUUUUCUCCCUUAAACAGUCUUCGUUAAUUAUAAAUGCAGUUCCAAUCAGGGUGUGUGUGUGAUGAAUAUGAAUAGUCAGCCUCCCUGCAGGUUUGGCAGAAGACCACCUCCAGCUGGACUCAGACCCCGACUCAAGUGUCUCGGUGUGUGUUUUGUGAGCGUGGCUGUCCAAGUCAGUUUGUAUCUGUCAGUGCGGUGACAACCUCAAAAKGAAGUGACACACACUGUUUGUGGGUGGAAGUCACGCAAAGCGAACCCUUCAAGCUUAAAAAUCAGCUAAACGCAUUGUUUCUUAUUUCUUAAAUCUUUUUUAUUGAGAUGUUAGAAUUAUAUUUAUAUUUACAUUUGAAUCGUUUUUUUAGAUUUAAUGUUUGAAGACUCUAUUUGUCAUUCUCCCUGUGCAUGUGUCUGUAAUUGCAGUGCAGCAGAUAAAGAAGGAGACGCCAUUCCAGCUGUGAGGAGACAGAAGGAGUCAACAUACACUCAGUCACACACACACACACACACACACACACACACACA